AUGGGUGACUAUCCAGCACGGUUCGGAGAGCACUUUUUGUCAGCGUUGGUGAAUGGAAGCCCCUCUAUCAAGCAAGAAAGAAGCGGCUAUUCCCACGACGGAGUCACCAUUGACUCUAUUUAUUAUUAUGGUGUAUUCUUAUACAUUUUCCCAAAAGAACAUUCAUUCAUUUCUUUCUUCCCCGUCGACCACGACGACUGA
rnacentral:lncRNA from 1 species